CAAAGCAUUUUUAAUCAGCAAAACUUAAAUAAAAGGAAAGGCUGUAUUAGGAAAUACACGGAAAAUAUCAUUAAGAAUUAGGAAUCUAGCUUGUGCAUUAAGCCAAACUGCUGCCAGUUUCAUAUCCUUUAACAAAUGAACCUCCACACCACAAAAAGAAGUCAUCAAAGCCACAACAGAAGGAUCAUUUACAGCCUUACAUUACCCAUCCUUUCAGCAACCAAUAUGUGACGUAAUCUUGUCAGUCUGAUCACAUCACAGAUACAGAGAUAAGAUUAUUCUGUAACUGGAAUUAAAUAUCUGAGCUGUUGAGGGGUUAUAUGAAACCCUCAUUUAUUUAUAUAAAAUAAAUUUUGAAAGGAAAAGGAAAAAAAAAAUCGGUAAUAAAGUUUACAUUGAACCGAAUGGAAAAAAGACAAGCUCUGCCUAAGCCUAUGCUCAUGAGAGAGGCCAGACAUGAAGUACAUAUACGUAUACACACAGACACGUAUUUAUAAUCCAUAACUUUUAAGGACGUAACGGAAAGGAAAGAGACGAUACCAGAAUCCCUCAGAUGUAGCAUGUCUUUAACACAUCCUGUUACAUGAAGGAAUUUCCUCUUUUUGUUCCAAAAAGGGAAAUGAAUGCCUCAUGGUUUUAACAUGUUAAAGAUCUGCUUUAGCAUCAGGAACAACACAGUGUCAGCAUUUUAAGAGCAUGAUCUUCAUUUUAAUUCUCCAAAGCAGAGCCCUUGGAUUUUUUUCCUUGUGCAGUUUGGAAAGAUGUUUGAUUAAGCUGCAAUCUGGCCUUUUUAACAAAAGCACUGUGCUGCCAGGUUUGAUUUCCAGUUACAACCAGCAGCCGCUCUCUGGGGAAGCGGCAGAGAGAGCAGCGGGAAGCGAGGAGGAAGCGCUUCGCUUCUGCGAGAAGCCAGGAUUGGCCUGAGCCAACAGUCCCUCGCCAGGCGAUUGCUCACUUGUCCACCAUCGGCUCGAGCUACUUCUGAAACCAGCCGGCCUCUGCAGAGCCUGACGCCGAUUUGCACUUUGGCACAACCACUUCCAAGCAAUAGCAGGUGGAGCGAAGCCUAGCUGAACUUUGCUCUGCUGCUCUGCGCAGGAAGGGGAAGCGCGCUGCGCAGAGGCGCUCCCCGCUAGCGAAACCACGAUGCCUGCCUGGGUGAACACCUACCCGCGCUGCUGCUGAUCCGCUGCCGCCGUUGACUUUUAUAACCCCACAACCUACCGCUUGCUGGUGCCAGCACUGGAGUGGAGCUGGAAUGGACUAAACCCAAAUCAUCAGCAAUAAGCUGUUGAAGCUUGAAAGAAAAAUUACCCAGCAUCACAAUCCUUCAUGUUGUGUUCAGAGUACCGGCGGCACCACAGGGACCACGUUUCUCUGGAUGUGAUCUGAAUUCCAGUCACCUUUUCAGGAUUCUGACCUUUUGGCGUGGCAGAAAAUGAAAGCUUCCUAGAAGAUACGUAUCCCAGCACAAGACAAGGAAGGCAGAGUUUUAAUAUUCCUCCCCAUGCAAGUAUUUUCCCCUAUUAAGUGCUUAAGACCUCUAUGACUAGGGAGAUUAAUUUUUGCAGCUGGACAUUUUCUUUAAGAAUGUAAUUUUCCACACAGUUUUCUCAUUUAGUUCUCUUCAUUCUAAUCCCAUAGCAUGCACUGUACCCAGGAGAGGUCUCUUCUGGCAAACUCUGAAAGUCUUUAAAAAAAAAAGAAAAAAAAGAAAAAAAAAAAAGCUGUGUGUGUGUGUGUGUGUGUGUGUGUGUGUGUGUGUGUGUGUGUGUGUGUGUGUGUGUGUGUGUGUGUGUGUGUGUGUGUGUGUGUGUGUGUGUGUCUCAAUAAGCAUUAUUUCAGAAAACCCUAUUACUAUGUAUUGCAAGCAAGUAAUUUAUCAGUAUUUCCAGACGAUCAACAUCAGGAGUCCACAACUAUAAAUUCAUUUGUCCAAGGAUCCAUUUUUAACAAAGCUACAUGAGGGAUGAAGUUGAACAGAGGCGCAAGUUCAUUAAAAAAAAUAAAAAUAAAAUGAAGAAAGAAAGAAAGAAAGUGAAAGCUGAAGUAUUGAGGUCACAAACAUUUAGGGUGCUAAGUGAGAGAUGGUUGUGACAGUUUGGAACAGAGAUUAAAAUCCGGAGAAUUUCAUCCACAUAGCAACACAGAACAAGAAUCUAACUUUAUUCUCAACCUCUGGUACGUGAUUGAGAAUCGAGGGAGUUAUACCCUUCUCGUCUUUCCCAUAGCGUCACCUGGGAAGAAAAUAAAGGGUAUUUCAUUGCAGACAGUCCCAGUUUGUACCAGAGGACAAUUUUUUUAAAUAAAAGCAUUGUAUUUAACCUACCAACAAGUUCUUAGUAGUCUAUGGUCAGGCACAGUAACAGGAGAGCUAUUUUUCCAAAUUCUGAUUGAAUUUUCUACUAUUAGGAUUUAGGCAUAAGGAAGACAAAAAACAGGAGAAGGAAACAGCCUCCUGAUCUUCCCUAUGCCCUCAUCACCUGGGGAGGCUCUUCCUCUCCUGAAAGUAGAACUUCUUCCACACUCUUUUUUUCCCCUGGCAAAAACAGGCUUCCAAAUAAAAACAUAAAAUUAUUCAGUUCUGUUAAAGUCAUUCCACUCCUCACUGGAAAAAUGAAGACAAGACAGAGGGGAAACAUCUGAAUUCAUCACAACCUCCAUGAGACAGAACUUUUUUGUAUUUCACAGUAGAUUUUCUUUACAGGCAAAGAGGAAAGCUAGAAUAUAUGUUCUUUUUCUUAAACAAGCUUAAUUUUUCAAGUGAUGGUGUUAGCCUUCUCACUCACUAAUUUAAGCUUCCCGCUUGUCAGAGAUAAACAUGCCUUUCAAGUUGUUUAUAUUAGCCUUCCUGUUUUAAUCUGUGAUUCCACACUUGCGGUACCCCACUGACUUCAGAAGGCUGUGUGUGAUGCAGAAACACUUGUACAGAAUGGGCUUUAUAUUUUUUCCAGCAAAUUCAACUGUAAUACUGAUUAAAACAUCUUGCAAAAUAA